rnacentral:rRNA from 1 species
UACGUAGGUGGCAAGCGUUGUCCGGAAUUAUUGGGCGUAAAGCGCGCGCAGGCGGUUCCUUAAGUCUGAUGUGAAAGCCCCCGGCUCAACCGGGGAGGGUCAUUGGAAACUGGGGAACUUGAGUACUGAAGAGGAAAGCGGAAUUCCACGUGUAGCGGUGAAAUGCGUAGAUAUGUGGAGGAACACCAGUGGCGAAGGCGACUCUCUGGUCUGUAACUGACGCUGAGGCGCGAAAGCGUGGGGAGCAAACAGG